AUUGAACGCUGGCGGCAUGCCUUACACAUGCAAGUCGAACGGUAACAGGUCUUCGGAUGCUGACGAGUGGCGAACGGGUGAGUAAUACAUCGGAACGUGCCUAGUAGUGGGGGGUAACUACUCGAAAGAGUGGCUAAUACCGCAUGAGUUCUACGGAUGAAAGCCGGGGAUCGCAGGACCUUGUGCUACUAGAGCGGCCGAUGGCAGAUUAGGUAGUUGGUGGGAUAAAAGCUUACCAAGCCGACGAUCUGUAGCUGGUCUGAGAGGACGAUCAGCCACACUGGGACUGAGACACGGCCCAGACUCCUACGGGAGGCAGCAGUGGGGAAUUUUGGACAAUGGGCGAAAGCCUGAUCCAGGAAUGCCGCGUGCAGGAUGAAGGCCUUCGGGUUGUAAACUGCUUUUGUACGGAACGAAAAGCUCUGGGUUAAUACCCUGGGGUCAUGACAGUACCGUAAGAAUAAGCACCGGCUAACUCUGUGCCAGCCGCCGCUGUAAUAC
rnacentral:rRNA from 1 species